rnacentral:rRNA from 1 species
UACAGAGGGGGCAAGCGUUGUUCGGAAUUACUGGGCGUAAAGGGCGCGUAGGCGGCCUGUUAAGUCGAACGUGAAAUCCCCGGGCUCAACCCGGGAACUGCGUCCGAUACUGGCGGGCUUGAAUCCGGGAGAGGGAUGCGGAAUUCCAGGUGUAGCGGUGAAAUGCGUAGAUAUCUGGAGGAACACCGGUGGCGAAGGCGGCAUCCUGGACCGGCAUUGACGCUGAGGCGCGAAAGCCAGGGGAGCAAACGGG